rnacentral:rRNA from 1 species
AGCGAACGCUGGCGGCAGGCCUAACACAUGCAAGUCGAACGAACUCUUCGGAGUUAGUGGCGGACGGGUGAGUAACACGUGGGAACGUGCCUUUAGGUUCGGAAUAACUCAGGGAAACUUGUGCUAAUACCGAAUGUGCCCUUCGGGGGAAAGAUUUAUCGCCUUUAGAGCGGCCGGCGUCUGAUUAGCUAGUUGGUGAGGUAAAGGCUCACCAAGGCGACGAUCAGUAGCUGGUCUGAGAGGAUGAUCAGCCACAUUGGGACUGAGACACGGCCCAAACUCCGACGGGAGGCAGCAGUGGGGAAUCUUGCGCAAUGGGCGAAAGCCUGACGCAGCCAUGCCGCGUGAAUGAUGAAGGUCUUAGGAUUGUAAAAUUCUUUCGCCGGGUACGAUAAUGACGGUACCCGGAGAAGAAGCCCCGGCUAACUUCGUG